rnacentral:rRNA from 1 species
AUUGAACGCUGGCGGAAUGCUUUACACAUGCAAGUCGAGCGGCAGCACGGGGGCAACCCUGGUGGCGAGCGGCGAACGGGUGAGUAAUACAUCGGAACAUGCCCAGUCGUGGGGGAUAACACUUCGAAAGAAGUGCUAAUACCGCAUACGUCCUGAGGGGGAAAGCGGGGGAUCGCAAGACCUCGCGCGAUUGGAGUGGCCGAUGUCAGAUUAGCUAGUUGGUGGGGUAAAGGCCUACCAAGGCAACGAUCUGUAGCUGGUCUGAGAGGAUGAUCAGCCACACUGGGACUGAGACACGGCCCAGACUCCUACGGGAGGCAGCAGUGGGGAAUUUUGGACAAUGGGGGCAACCCUGAUCCAGCCAUUCCGCGUGAGUGAAGAAGGCCUUCGGGUUGUAAAGCUCUUUCGGCAGGAACGAAACGGUGAGCUCUAACAUAGCUUGCUAAUGACGGUACCUGAAGAAGAAACACCGGCUAACUACGUG